rnacentral:lncRNA from 1 species
UCCAAAGCCCAGGACUUUCCCGACAGGAUCCUGCUGUUGACAAAGCUGUAGGUGAGGGGAUAGAUGGUAAGCAAGUCAAAGCAGCAAGUGCUGCGGAUACUAAUGAAAAUAGACCACCCAGUAGAAAAAGUUCCUGCGAGAGCACCUCAGAGCUACAGUGCUGGGAUGGGUCCACCAGCCCUUGCUAUUCUGAAGACUUCUGCACAACUGAGAAUAAUAGCAGAAGUCUGCCAGCUCCUGACAGCAGCACAGGGGCAGAGUAUGCUCAAAAGGGUUCAUGGGCGAGCAAGUCAAGUGAGGCAAGGCUGUCCACAAGGAAAAACAGCAGUGAGUCGAGUUCUGUGUUCACCCCUCCCUUUUCUGCUGGCUCACCAGUGUGUUCUCAAAAAAGAUCUCGUGUACUGAAGACUCACGAUAGUCUGGAGGAAGCAUCCAGUCUCUCCACCAGUGAUUUUUCAUCACAGUGGACAAAUGAAAAGGAAAACCAGGCAGAUCCAGGUAGUUCAAAGAUCAGGAGGAGACAGGACCGCUCCACUAAACUUAAAGUAGGAACUGGUCACAAGUCAUCUGAGAAAAGCCACUCAGCAAGGACAUCUCAAGUUAGUUCUUAUGAACCAUCAAAUUUGUCUGAGCUAGAACUCAAGGCCAUAGAUGACAUAGAUAGUGCAUCAACUGGCUUCCAAGAAGAGGAAGAUGGCCUUGGUUCCCUUCGCAUC